rnacentral:rRNA from 1 species
UACGGGAGGCAGCAGGGGGAAUAUUGCACAAUGGGCGCAAGCCUGAUGCAGCCAUGCCGCGUGUAUGAAGAAGGCCUUCGGGUUGUAAAGUACUUUCAGUCGUGAGGAAGGUGUUAAGGUUAAUAACCUUAGCAAUUGACGUUAGCGACAGAAGAAGCACCGGCUAACUCCGUGCCAGCAGCCGCGGUAAUACGGAGGGUGCGAGCGUUAAUCGGAAUUACUGGGCGUAAAGGGCACGCAGGCGGUUAAUUAAGUUGGAUGUGAAAUCCCCGGGCUUAACCUGGGAAUGGCAUUCAAGACUGGUUAGCUAGAGUCUUGUAGAGGGGGUAGAAUUCCAUGUGUAGCGGUGAAAUGCGUAGAGAUGUGGAGGAAUACCGGUGGCGAAGGCGGCCCCUGGCAAAGACUGACGCUCAUGUGCGAAAGCGUGGGGAGCGAAACAGGGAUUAGAUACC